CACACCUACAUAGUUUAAUAACCCUUCCCCUCCUAGCUCUUGUCUGCAACUAUAAUACCUCUCGAUCUCACCCGCUCCCUCUAUUAUCAAACAUCCACAACCAAACAUCCACCCCCUCCUUCUCCCUCGUGAGUCUGACAGCGGCGCCGCCGUGUGUGGCGGCGGAGGCGACCAUUUCGACGUGAUUUCCGGCGUCGGCUCAGCUGACAACACCCGUAACCUCCUCUCAUCACCCGUUGGCAUCACACACACAACCCCGGGGAUCGGAGGCAUCGCCGGAGAAAUCGUACACCACGUCGGUAAACAAGAAGCUUUUCCGGAGAACCUGCACGUCGCCGGAACAAUGGAGUCGUCGGAUGUUCACGACAGGAAUUACUCGUAAUCGUUUCGGAUAAUCGCUCUUGUUCGUUCUUUUGGAUUUCCCAACUUGUACUCGUGCGUUAUUUCAAGAACUCCAUACGCAACUAAUGAUAAUCGCUCUUGUUCGUUCUUUUGGAUUUCCCAACUUGUACUCGUGCGUUAUUUCAAGAACUCCAUACGCAACUAAUGUUAAUUAUUGAGAUGAUAUUCAAGACGAAACAAGAUUUAGG